rnacentral:rRNA from 1 species
AGAGAUGUGUGAUGACGCAUAUCAAUAAGCGGAGGAAAAGGAAACUAACAAGGAUUCCCUUAGUAACGGCGAGUGAAGCGGGAAGAGCUCAAAUUUGAAAUCUUCAAGGUUCUACCUUGACGAAUUGUAGUUUAUAGAAGUGUUUUCUGUUAGUAGGAGUGGCAAAAGUUCUUUGGAAUAGGACAUCAUAGAGGGUGAGAAUCCCGUAUUUGGUCAUUCCUUCCUAGCGUUGUGAUACACUUUCAGCGAUGUCGGAUUGUUUGGGAAUGCAGUCCAAAAUGGGUGGUAAAUUUCAUCUAAAGCUAAAUAUUGGCGAGAGACCGAUAGCGAACAAGUACCGUGAGGGAAAGAUGAAAAGAACUUUGAAAAGAGAGUUAAACAGUACGUGAAAUUGUCAAAAGGGAAGCGUUUGACACCAGUGUUGUUUUUCCGAAAAUCAAUUACGAAUGUUUUAUUUUUGAGAAGUUAUGACUUCAUCGGCUUGCUUCUCUCUUUAUGAAACUUUCUUAAUGCACUUUUCGGUUAACAAGUCAACAUCAAUUUCUUUUGUUGUAAAAGGGUAUGAGGAAGGUGGCUUUCUUUUCGGGGAAAGUGUUUAUAGCCUUGUACCUCUGCAAUCGGAGAGAUUGAGGUCUGCAGCGUAGAUCCUUCGGGGUUAGAUACAUUUGUGCUAAGUUAUAGCUUUUCAUAGACAACUUGUUGACUAUGUUUAGUCUUGUAGCUUACUCGCUUAUGCUAUUUUACCUACGCUUAGGAUGUUGAUAGUCACAGCGUGUAC